UGCAAGUCGAACGCGGUUUCCUCGCAAGGGGAAACUGAGUGGCGAACGGGUGAGUAACACGUGGGUGACCUACCUUCGAGUGGGGGAUAACGUCCCGAAAGGGACGCUAAUACCGCAUGACAUCCUGCCUUUGAAAAGGUGGAGAUCAAAGCCGGGGAUCGCAAGACCCGGCGCUUGAUGAGGGGCCCGCGUCCGAUUAGCUAGUUGGUGAGGUAAUGGCCCACCAAGGCAACGAUCGGUAUCCGGCCUGAGAGGGCGGACGGACACACUGGGACUGAGACACGGCCCAGACUCCUACGGGAGGCAGCAGUGGGGAAUUGUUCGCAAUGGGCGCAAGCCUGACGACGCAAUGCCGCGUGGAGGAUGAAGGUCUUCGGAUUGUAAACUCCUGUUGCCAGGGGCGAAUGGCUUCGACCUAAUACGUCGAAGUAUGACGGUACCUGGUGAGGAAGCCCCGGCUAACUCUGUGCCAGCAGCCGCGGUAAUACAGAGGGGGCGAGCGUUGUUCGGAAUUACUGGGCGUAAAGGGCGCGUAGGCGGCCCGCUAAGUCGAACGUGAAAUCCCCAGGCUCAACCUGGGAACUGCGUCCGAUACUGGCAGGCUUGAAUCCGGGAGAGGGAUGUGGAAUUCCAGGCGUAGCGGUGAAAUGCGUAGAUAUCUGGAGGAACACCGGUGGCGAAGGCGGCAUCCUGGACCGGUAUUGACGCUGAGGCGCGAAAGCUAGGGGAGCAAACGGGAUUAGAUACCCCGGUAGUCCUAGCCCUAAACGAUGAAUGCUUGGUGUGGCGGGUAUCGAUCCCUGCCGUGCCGAAGCUAACGCAUUAAGCAUUCGCCUGGGGAGUACGGUCGCAAGGCUG
rnacentral:rRNA from 1 species